GACGAACGCUGGCGGCGUGCUUAACACAUGCAAGUCGAACGGAAAGGCCCUGCUUUUGUGGGGUGCUCGAGUGGCGAACGGGUGAGUAACCCGUAAGUAACCUGUCCUUGACUUUGGGAUAACUUCAGGAAAGUGAGUCUAAUACCGGAUAGGAGCUCCUGCUGCAUGGUGGGGGUGGGAUAGUUUCGGCGGUUGGGGAUGGACUGGCGGCUUAUCAGCUUGUUGGUUGGGUAGUGGCUUACCAAGGCUUUGACGGGUAGCCGGCCUGCGAGGGUGGCCGGCCACAUUGGGACUGGGAUACGGCACAGACUCCAACGGUAGGCAGCGGUGGGGAAUAUUGCACAAUGGGCGGAAGCCUGAUGCGACAACGCCGCGUGCGGGAUGACGGCCUGCGGGUUGUAAACCGCUUCCGCCUGUGACGAAGCGUUAGUGACGGUACUGGGUAAAGAAGCACCGGCUAACUACGUG
rnacentral:rRNA from 1 species